AGCAAACCUAUUCACAUUCACAUUCACAUUACACAAAUCACUCUCAAUUUAUUCCUAAAUUCUUUCUUUCUUUACAAUCAACUGGACACGAUGUGAAAAGCCCAAAAAAAAAAAUGCAAGCACAGAUCAAGGCCUUGUCCUUGAUCUGUGCUUGGUUGCGUUAACUCUCGCCAAAAAGGCUUAGACCUGUGAAAGCAAAGAGAACCCUAAUAAUCCUGAAAUAACACAGAGAAAACGAACACUUUCUACGUAUUUAACAUUUAAAAUUCAAGUGGAAGAGAAUCUUGGAGUGGGUGGUUUACAAUCUGGAUAAGCGAAUCUGUCAGCUUUUCCUAACAAAGGCAAAAUCCAAGAAUCCAUCAAGGCUGCAAAUCUGUAAUGAAAAUUCAUCACAUUCAAGAGCAGGAGCCAUUAAACAAAGAGAAAGGUCCUAGUGCUACGAGUGAAGAAGGGCAAAA